GCCCAGUUGGCUCAGUGGUUUGAGCAUCUGCCUUCAGCUCAGGGUGUGAUCCUAGGGUCCUGGGAUCGAGUUCCACAUUGGGCU
rnacentral:tRNA from 1 species